UACGUAGGUGGCAAGCGUUGUCCGGAUUUAUUGGGUUUAAAGGGUGCGUAGGCGGCCCUGUAAGUCAGUGGUGAAAUACUCCGGCUUAACUGGAGGGGUGCCAUUGAUACUGCAGGGCUUGAGUGGAGUCGAAGUAGGCGGAAUUGACGGUGUAGCGGUGAAAUGCUUAGAUAUCGUCAAGAACACCGAUAGUGAAGACAGCUUACUAGGCUUCUACUGACGCUGAGGCACGAAAGUGUGGGGAUCAAACAGG
rnacentral:rRNA from 1 species